rnacentral:rRNA from 1 species
AUUGAACGCUGGCGGCAGGCCUAACACAUGCAAGUCUAACGAGUGGCGGACGGGUGAGUAAUGUCUGGGAAACUGCCCGAUGGAGGGGGAUAACUACUGGAAACGGUAGCUAAUACCGCAUACCAUCGGAUGUGCCCAGAUGGGAUUAGCUAGUAGGUGGGGUAAAGGCUCACCUAGGCGACGAUCCCUAGCUGGUUUGAGAGGAUGACCAGCCACACUGGAACUGAGACACGGUCCAGACUCCUACGGGAGGCAGCAGUGGGGAAUAUUGGACAAUGGGGGAAAGCCUGAUGCAGCCAGGCCGCGUGUAUGAAGAAGGCCUUCGGGUUGUAAAGUACUUUCAGCAGGGAGGCGGUACCAACAGAAUAAGCACCGGCUAACUACGUGCCAGCAGCCGCGGUAAUUC